rnacentral:sRNA from 1 species
ACCAACUAUUAACCACUUCCCCUAGCAGCACCAUUAUGUCCUCUUCUCAGUCGCCUCCAAGAUUGCCCUCAUUUCGCGUGCUGUUCAACUGUCUCACAAACCAGGACUAGCUGCUCUUGCACAAGUCUGCAAAAGCCUUUACUCCUUAUCUCUGCAAACGGAUCGUAAUCGGCGUGUCUAACACCUACAAAGUCUAUUACUCCUUGCUGGACGACGAGGCGACACAAAUCCUUCCUUGCAAAAGAAGAUCACCAGCUGCAUUUAUGAAGCAUACUGGAGAAAGUUACGAUGACAGUGAUUUGAGAGUGUCGGCAGAUAAAUAGUGCGGGUUCGCGUUUCGUUUCAGUCGUUGCCUUCUCACUAGAUUAACCGGCAUGAAUGGCAAAUUAUCCAG